rnacentral:lncRNA from 1 species
AUGGAUACCGGAUCUCAGCAGCCACUGAAUUCAGUUCGGUCCCUUCUCCAGUAUCCGUUCGAGAGGAGAACUAUGGUGGAAAAACUUAAUGUCAAAGAGCUUGGACCAGAUCAGCCCGACGUAAAGAUAAGCCAGCAGGAGGAGGAGAGAGGUAAACUGUACACACGACGCUUCUCCCAAAAUUGGUACACCAGGAAGGCUUGGCUUGCUGGAUGCAAUCACGCUAAUGCGUUAUUUUGCUUUCUGUGUUUGUUAUUCAAAACGGCUGGGAUCCACAGAAGGUGGAUGUGGAACUUGUGUCUCAUUGGGGACUCCAUUCAUUCUCUGACUGAGGAAUGCAGCGCAUCAGUGCAGCAGCCAACAAAGAAACUGAGGACAUUUGGACAGGGAGAACAGCAGCUGGGUGCAGAGGUGGGCACGCCCGGAGAGCAGCUGCUGCGAAUUCCCUCAUCAGCUCGCAGGGGAUUUAAGGAGCGGUGUGACAACUCACCAGUGCCGGAUGAUUACUCGCAUUGGGUACUCUCAUCAUCUGCCUGUUACCAGCUCGUCAACCUGCACUCUCACCUGUUACAACAAGGCGCCUCCGGAUCUCCUGUCCACCCGCCACACCGCUUCUCCCUUUGGCCGUCUGCUCUCCUGCGCUCACCUGCCCGCUCCUGGAACCGGUGCUCAGCUCCCAGCCUCCUCCAACAGCUUCCACUCAGACCUGACACGCCCCCCUCUCAGCGCUCCACUACCUUACUGGAAUCUGUAAGCCUCCAUUCUAUUACACCUUCCCCGUCAGCUUUACAUUACUCAUUCUUGUUCUCUGUCUCAGAACGCUGCCAGAACCGCCCUCCUCCGACGUCUCCCCAGCCUCGUCAAACUCAAAUAAAGAUGUAUUAUUUUUACUCAUCUUGUCUCUUCGUGAUUCUGCAUGUCGUGGGUCAAAAGACUCUAUCCCAACAUGACAAAGAGGAGUUUAAGUAUCUCAGGGUCUUGUUCAUGAGGGAGGGAAAGAUGGAGCGUAAGCUUGACGGAUUGGUGCUGCAUCUGCAGUGA